AGGAUGAACGCUGGCGGCGUGCUUAACACAUGCAAGUCGAACGAUGAAGGCUGGAGCUUGCUCUGGCUGGAUUAGUGGCGAACGGGUGAGUAACACGUGAGUAACCUGCCCCAGACUCUGGGAUAAGCGCUGGAAACGGCGUCUAAUACCGGAUACGAGCUUCCACCGCAUGGUGAGGAGCUGGAAAGAAUUUCGGUCUGGGAUGGACUCGCGGCCUAUCAGCUUGUUGGUGAGGUAAUGGCUCACCAAGGCGACGACGGGUAGCCGGCCUGAGAGGGUGACCGAGCCACACGUGGA
rnacentral:rRNA from 1 species